UACGUAGGGGGCGAGCGUUGUCCGGAUUCACUGGGCGUAAAGGGCGCGCAGGCGGCCGCGUCAGCCCGCCGCGAAAGCCCCCGGCUCAACUGGGGGAGGUCGGCGGGGACGGCGCGGCUUAGAGGCCGGUAGGGGGGCACGGAAUUCCCGGUGUAGUGGUGAAAUGCGUAGAGAUCGGGAGGAACACCAGUGGCGAAGGCGGUGCCCUGGGCCGGGCCUGACGCUGAGGCGCGAAAGCGUGGGGAGCGAACCGG
rnacentral:rRNA from 1 species